AAGCAGUGAAAGGAUGUGGACAUAAACUUGUAACAUCUAACAUAUAAUUUGCACAAGAAUAUGCUGUUGACCAUAUGAUAUAGAUUAGUGAGACUUAAAGGAACUGGGUUCGGAAGGGUUCUGACUUCUGAUUGAGAUCACCUGGACCUCAAACCAUAAAUGUAUAAAAUACAAAAGCUAGCUUAAAGUUGAGAAUACUCACCAGAGAUAUAGCUAAGUAAACUG
rnacentral:misc_RNA from 1 species